AGUGAACGCUGGCGGCAGGCCUAACACAUGCAAGUCGAACGGCAGCACAGUAAAAGUUGGUUCUUUCGGGUUGCGUGUCGCGGGCGGGAGUGAAACACAUCGAACUCUACUUUUUCGGGGGGGAAAAAGUAGGGAAACUCACGCUAAUACCCCAUACGACUAACGUGUGAAUGCAGGAGAGCUUCGGACCUUGCUCGAUUGAUUGAGCCGCUCUGGGGUUAGCGAGUUGGCGGGGUAAAGGCCCACCAAGGCGACGAUCCGUAGCUGGUCUGAGAGGAUGAUCGGCCACACUGGAACUGGGCCACGGCCCAGACUCCUACGGGAGGCAGCAGUGGGGAAUUUUGGACAAUGGGCGCAAGCCUGAUCCAGCAAUCCCGCGGGGGUGAAGAAGGCCUUCGGGUGGUAAAGCCCUUUUGUCGGGAAAGAAAGGCAUCUGGUUAAUACCGAGCUGUUCUGACGGUACCGGAAGAAUAAGCACCGGCUAACUACGUG
rnacentral:rRNA from 1 species